rnacentral:rRNA from 1 species
AUUGAACGCUGGCGGCAUGCCUUACACAUGCAAGUCGAACGGCAGCACGGGUGCUUGCACCUGGUGGCGAGUGGCGAACGGGUGAGUAAUACAUCGGAACGUACCUUAUCGUGGGGGAUAACGCAGCGAAAGUUGCGCUAAUACCGCAUACGCCCUGAGGGGGAAAGCGGGGGACCGUAAGGCCUCGCGCGCUUCGAGCGGCCGAUGGCUGAUUAGCUUGUUGGGGAGGUAAAAGCUCACCAAGGCGAUGAUCAGGAGCUGGGCUGAGAGGACGAUCAGCCAAACUGGGACUGAGACCAGGCCCAGAAUCCUACGGGAGGCAGCAGUGGGGAAUUUUGGACAAUGGGGGCAACCCUGAUCCAGCAAUGCCGCGUGAGCGAAGAAGGCCUUCGGGUUGUAAAGCUCUUUUGUCAGGGAAGAAACAGCAGCUCUAACACAGUCUGCGAAUGACGGUACCUGAAGAAUAAGCACCGGCUAACUACGUGCCAGCAGCCGCGGUAA